rnacentral:misc_RNA from 1 species
GAUGAAGAACGUAGCGAAAUGCGAUAAGUAAUGUGAAUUGCAGAAUUCAGUGAAUCAUCGAAUCUUUGAACGCACAUUGCGCCCGCCAGUAUUCUGGCGGGCAUGCCUGUCUGAGCGUCAUUUCAACCCUCAUGCCCCUAGGGCGUGGUGUUGGGGAUCGGCCAAAGCCCGCGAGGGACGGCCGGCCCCUAAAUCUAGUGGCGGACCCGUCGUGGCCUCCUCUGCGAAGUAGUGAUAUUCCGCAUAGGAGAGCGACGAGCCCCUGCCGUUAAACCCCCAACUUUCUCAGGUUGACCUCAGAUCAGGUAGGAAUACCCGCUGAACUUAAGCAUAUCAAUAAGCGGAGGA